rnacentral:rRNA from 1 species
CUCAGGAUUAACGCUGGCGGCGUGCCUAAUACAUGCAAGUCGAAUGGUAGCAAUACCAUGGCGAACGGGUGAGUAACACGUAGGUAACCUGUCUUUAAGACGAGGAUAACCGUUGGAAACGACGGAUAAUACUCGAUAGGUGAUUUGAGGGCAUCCUUGGAUCAUUAAAGAUUUAUCACUUAGAGAGGGGCCUGCGGCGCAUUAGCUAGAUGGCGGUGUAAUGGACCACCAUGGCGAUGAUGCGUAGCCGGACUGAGAGGUUGAACGGCCACAAUGGAACUGAGAACGGUCCAUACUCCUACGGGAGGCAGCAGUAGGGAAUUUUCGGCAAUGGGCGAAAGCCUGAACCCGAGCAACGCCGCGUGAACGAAGAAGUAUUUCGGUAUGUAAAGUUCUUUUAUCGGGGAAGAAAAUAUUCAAAUUGACGGUACCUGAUGAAUAAGCUCCGGCUAACUACGUGCCAGCAGCCGC